AUUGAACGCUGGCGGCAGGCCUAACACAUGCAAGUCGAACGAGUGGCGGACGGGUGAGUAAUGUCUGGGAAACUGCCUGAUGGAGGGGGAUAACUACUGGAAACGGUAGCUAAUAACGCAUACCAUCAGAUGUGCCCAGAUGGGAUUAGCUGGUUGGUGGGGUAACGGCUAACCAAGGCGACGAUCCCUAUCUGGUCUGAGAGGAUGACCAGCCACCCUGGAACUGAGACACGGCCCAGACUCCUACGGGAGGCACCAGUGGGUAAUAUUGGACAAUGGGCGCAAGCCUGAUGCAGCCAUGCCGCGUGUAUGAUGAAGGCCUUCGGGUUGUAAAGUACUUUCAGCGGGGAGGCGUUACCCGCAGAAGAAGCACCGGCUAACUCCGUGCCAGCCGCCGCGGUAAUAC
rnacentral:rRNA from 1 species